rnacentral:ncRNA from 1 species
CGGGGAUAAAAACACGGUCCGGCCGGUAGUCCGGGCGGACAGCGGGGGACCCGUCCCGCCGCCGCUGUCUCAGUAACCUGCCCUCCCAUGGGUUGUCCAUUCCCCG